rnacentral:lncRNA from 1 species
GUGGCCAGCAACGUUGCCGACAAGACGGAUCCUCACUCCAUGAACUCCCGUGUGUUCAUUGGGAAUCUCAACACUCUUGUGCUCCAGAAAUCUGAUGUGGAGGCAGUCUUUUCAAAGUAUUGCAAAAUUGUGGGCUGCUCUGUUCAUAAGGGCUUUGCCUUUGUUUAGUAUGUUAAUGAGAGAAAUGCCCGGGCCGCUGUAGGUGGAGAUGUACAGCUCCUCUUUUGACUUGGACCAUGACUUUCAACGGGAUUAUUAUGAUAGGAUGUACAGUUACCCAGCACAUGUUCCUCCUCCUCCUAUUGCUCGGGCUGUAGUGCCCUCGAAAUGUCAGCAUGUAUCAGGAAACAUGAAGGGGAAAAAGUGGCUUCAAUUCUAAGAGAGGACAGCGGGGAUCUUCCAAGUCUGGAAAGUUGAAAGGAGAUGACCUUCAGGCCAUUAAGAAGGAAUUGACCCAGAUAAAACAAAAAGUGGAUUCUCUCUUAGAAAACCUAGAAGAAAAUUGAAAAGGAACAGGGGAAACAAGCAGUAGAGAUGAAGGAUGAUAAGUCGGAAGAGGAGCAGAGCAGUAGUUCCAUGAAGAAAGAUGAGACUAAUGUGAAGGUGGAGUCGGAGCGGGGUGCAGAUGACUUUGCUGAGGAGGACCUACUAGAUGAUGAUGACAAUGAAGAUGGGGGAUGACCAGCUGGAGUUGAUCAAGGAUGAUGAAAAAGAGGCUGAAGAAGGAGAGGAUGACAGAGACAGCACCAAUGGCGAAGAUAACUCU